GGCAGCCCCUCCUCACAGCAUGAGAGGGAGUUGGGAGGGGCGGCACCCCAAAAAGAAGGCGUGGGCGGAGCCUGGGCAGAUGGAACCCUAGGUGAGCAUUUCCUCUCUUCACCAAGACUGGAAAGUGGGGUGGUGAGGUGGCUUUUGAGGGUGACAGGACCCUAGAAGGCUGCUGAGGUCCCAGGGAAGGGUCCCUGGUUGAACUUUCUGUGGCACACGGGUUUAAGACUAAAUUAGACAAUCCGUGAGAAAUGCUUCACGGAGCACCGGGCGCCUAGGAAGGGCUCACCCCCCAUUGGCUGGUGUUAUUAUCAUUGAUUACUUACAGAAGAGGUUAUUUGAAAUAAGGGCUCUCUGGCUAAAGGGACUUGAAAUGGCUGGCCUAUUGGAAUGGAGGUCCAGGGGCCUGAGGACCUGUGACCUGGCAACGGUGUGACCCAGGGCAAACCUCGGCCUCCUCCUGCAGACUGGAUCUGCCCACCCGGGGCCCCUGUGCCGACUGGAAAGCAGGCCCCACCCACCCCACCCCUGGGGAACAGCCCCGUGCGAGGGCUCGUGACUGGGGGGCCGGCCAGCUUGCACCUCAACCCCACCUGCCCGCUGAGUUGGCUGCCCUUAUGCAGUGUGCAACCUGCGCAUCCUUCCCGGACUCGGUCUCCUGUUUGGUGGGGUGGGGGUCACACAGCACCCUGUGCAUGUCCAUCAGGGUGGCUGUGACUGUUGAUGAGGUGCUGACUGUGCAAGGGUUUGAACCUGCUGCGCCUCGUGAGGAGGGGCGGAAACGUCACCACAGAGAGGUGACCAGCAGAGGUCCCGGGUGGUGGGAGGGCAGAGGCUGGGAGGGUGAGUCGAAGUCGGGGAAGAUCUGCCCGGAAGGCUCCUGCCUGCCCCCAGGGAGAGGCGUGGGCGUCCCUCCUCCACCAGGCCUCACCCCAGCACUGACAGGCCCCCACUGAUCAGCCAGCCGAGAGCCCCGCCUGCCCAGGCCUUUUAGCCGAGGCCUUGGGCCUUCAUUGCCUCCAGGCUGCCAGACCCAGCGGGCCGGAGAAGUACCGGCCCCUCCGCCAACCCGGGGCAGCCUCCCGUCAGCCCGGAGACACCAGAGACUCCUCCCCACACGGGCUGCAGCCCUCAAAGCCAGACGCAGCUGGGUGCUUCUGCCCUCAGGCAGGUUCCUCUGACAGCCAAGGGCAGGAUCUUCCAAUCGCGCCUGAUCCCAAGGAUCACCUGGGGCACUUGUCAAAAUACAGCUUCAGAGCGGCUGCCCUAGCAUCCAGCGAGUCCAGGUGGGGCCCAGGAGUCUGCAUUUCACCAGCACCCCGAACGAUGUGACGGACACUGAAGUUGGACAGUCACAUAGCCACCGAGAUUAAGAGGGUGGGCUAUGGAUCCCUUCCGAUCUGGGUUAGAUGCUGUGUGACCUUGGGCAAAUGACUUAACCUCUCUGGUUCCCUCUGAGUCAAAAUAAGGACAACAGAUUACCUACCUCAGACGUUCAAUGUGAAGCCCGAGUCCCUGCGGCGAAAGUUCUUAGAAGCAGCCCAGUAAGCACCAGCAGAUGGCAGUGACUGUGGUGGUGGUUAUUAUUAUUAAUAUCAUCGCUACCCCCUGCCUCCCCAGGAUGUCAAGUCCCUUAAGUGAAGGGCUUGGGGGCCCACAGGGCACCUGCUGUGGCUCUGCUCCUGCGUUUUGUCCCCUCCCGGGGCCCCGGAUGGGAGCUCGGCCCUGUGCGCCCUGAGGGUCUGUGAAUGCCAUUAGCUCUGCGGCGCACCCCCUCCUGCCCGCUCCACACCUCCCCUCCCCAGAGCCCACCAGGCAGCGUCUGCUUCUGCCAUCAGGCGGCCCCACACGCUGCCCCUUUGGGGUGGGUGGUCGUCCCCCUGAAGGUGGUGAGCAGAGCGCAGCAGGCCCGGCUGGGGGGCGGGGAGAGGGGUGCGCAGGGCGCGCGGGGCUCACGCUGGAGUUCAGGGUCUGCGCCCGGCGCUGGGCCAGACGCGGGGUCCAAACCCUCGCCCGGGCCGGGCGAGGCUGGGACGAGGAUGUCCGAGUGCAGGAGAGCAGGGCGGGGUGCAAAGGGUCCGCGCACCCCUCUCCCGUCCUCUCUCGGCCCGAGGGUGCGGGGUCCCGACAUCCCGGCUCCACAGCGCGUGCGGCGCCGCCAAGGAGCCGCCGGGGUCCGCGCACCCCUGAGCGGGUUUCUGCGGGAGAAGGAGCGCGAGCGGGGCGGCUCCGAGCUGGUCCGGCGAUGCCGCGGGGGCGCUGCCACCGCAUCCCCGACACGGGUCCCGCCAGGACCCAGCGCGGUCCCCCCUCACGUCCGCGCCGCACAAACCACGUUAGUGGAGACGAAAUGGAGUCACUCCCCCCCACCCCAUGUCCUCAUCCUCCCUGACCCUUCCGUCCUGUCCCCACUGGACACAAUCCUGGCGGAGCUGCCACUCGGUCUAGAGCCGCAGUCUGGAUGUUUUUUCCCUACUUAACCUCAUAAAAAUCAUAAAAUGUUUUCUAUUUAUCGUAGUGUUUCAUUCAAUUCAAUAAAAACCUACUGGACAUCCCUCGGGCGCCAGGCCCUGAGUUUUCAUCCCGAGGAAAUGUCGCUCGCUAAACUCGACACCUGCACAGGAGCUGUAAUAUAAAGAAGCAUGAAGAACCUCGUGUGAAAUGAAACCUUGUUGGACACAUCAGUGCUCCAGCCUAGCCGCUCUGGGAGACGCGAUGAGAUGGUCAGGAGCUCGCAGCCCCACAGAACCAUCGUGAAGGUGACAGCCGCAGGUGGACAGGAAUGCGGAGCUCUGAGCCAGGACGCCACACCCCAACAGCGACACUGUCCAGAACGAUGAGGACGCUGCGCACCUGGUGGGAGGGGCUGAGCCCGGACGCUCACCCGAGGCUGUCUAACAUCCACCGAGUCUGCGCACGGCCUUCUCUCCUGUCGAUGAGAACUGGGCUGGCACCGGGGACCCAAAUACGAGAAGGGCACCUCUCAGGGGGACACCGACACCGGGAUGCUCCCUCCACAGCCUGGUGAGGAAAUGACAGAGGACGUGUGAAGUGCAGGGGACGUGCAGCCAAGGAGCGACCAUAGAGCGAGAGUUCCAGUGGUAGAGAAGGGGGACAAGCAAGCGGGAACAGCAUUCAGGCAGGGGGAACUGCAUGGAUAAAGGCAUAGAGGACUGGGGAGCUGGACACGCUCCUUGGGCGAGGCAGGGGGUGGCGGAGGGGCAUGGGCCUGGACCAGGAGACUGUGAUGUCAUUGCAAAGCAUCCAGGAGGCCCAGCGAAGCAGUGUGGUUUGGGCUGGGGAGGCAAUGGGGAGCCAUGAGAGGCUUUAGAGCCGGGCAGCUGCAUGAGGGCGUGGGUUGUAGAACAAUCCUGGGAGCCGGGAGGAGGAGGAGGCCCAGAGGGUGGAGAGACGAGCUGGGGACCAGGGAGGGGGUGUCUCAACAGCCCAGGGUUAACACGGCAGCUCCUUAAAGUCACAGAGGGGAAUGUCAGCGCUUCUCUCUGAGCCACCCUGCUAGGAAGAGGGGUCUCUGUGGACCGCACCCCCACUUGCUACGAGAGGACAGUGGGAGGGCACUCCCUCCACCCCUGCUCUCUGUGUGUGUGUGUUGGGGUGGGAGGGGAGAAGGACGGGAGCCUGGGUCCUUUCCGGAAGCUGGAGGCAGGGUGCCAGCGGCAGGUUCCUGAGCAAUUCCCAGGACCAGGGGAGGGGGCCCCAGACCUGAGCUCAGCAGCUCCAAGAUGCGCCGGCCCCGCAGUCCCCAGCCCGCCCCACCCUUCCCGAGGUCCUGCAAGCCCCCCAACCCCACGCCCCCGUCCCACCCCGCAGAGUCCUCCAGGGGCUCUCUGCCUCGGCAACAGAAGUGAGACGUCCCCAGUGGUGCGGUGACUUCCACCGUCUCCCUCAGUGCCCACAGUGGCCCUGGGAGAGGGGCACCCGCGCCACCCCUAUUUCACAGACGGGGAAACGGAAGCUGGGGGAGGCUGCCACUCACCCGAGGACGCAGAGCCAGGCAGAAAUCGCGUGCUGCGACAUGGACCGGCCCCACCACCCCAGCCCCGCGUGCAGGCAGGGCCCGCACAUCUGGACACCCCAGCCUCGGUGCCCCAUGCCAGCAGAGAGAGUGGCCGUGGGGCCUCCCCAGCAGGCGCCCGGCCCUGGAGCCUCCAGGAACCUCGCUCCCUAUCACAGUCAUGCACAGGGCCUGCCUCCCGCUCUCUGUCCCCUGGGGCAGGAAACAGCCCGGAGAGAGAUAAGGAGAAGAGAAGGAGGGGGGGCUCCGGGGAGAGGGCCCUCCCCACACACAGCAGAAGAAUAGAAGGAAACGGCUGGAGAGAGGCCAGCGUCUGCCCGGGGCAGGGGGUUAUCUUGGUCUAUAAAUAACCCCAGCUCCAGGCUCCCAGGACGGGGAGGGAAGGGACUGAGGCCGAGGGCCUGGACUCUGCGGUGGGCUUGGGGUGGGGGCGGCGGUCAUUCCUGUUGGCCAGGGAUUCAGACCAAAGGGCCAAAGGGGAUAAUGGCCCGACCUGGGACCCUAACCCUCACCUCCCGCUAGGGGGCUCUGACCCUGUACUUGACCAGGGGGUCCUGCAGCCCCCCGUUCCUCCCCCGUCCCCAUCCACUCACCUGUCCACCUACCCUUCCCGCCUCCCUCCCUGCCUCUGAGCUUCCCAUUUGCUGUUCCUUCUGUCUGCAACACUCUUCCUGCCCUCUUCACCUUGCUGACUCGCCCUCCAGGCCCCAGCCUAGGCGCACACUCUCCAGGAAGCCUUCUCGGACCCCCAGUCGGGGGUCAGGGUGGUAGCCGGUGGCGGCCGCAGCCCGGUCUUCCCUUCCCACAGCACUUAUCACAGUUACAUUUUCACACUCACGCCCCUCCCACCCCCGAGGGAGCUGAUGUUUCCACAGCGCCUAGGGCGACGCCUGGCACACAGUAGGGGCUCAAUAAAUUCGUUUGGUGUCUCCAUGUUCCAUCUGUCUUCCCUCUCUCCCCCCUCCUCCCCUCCUCCCUUCCUGAGUGCCGACCUCAGCCAGGCUGCUGUCGGUCCCUGCCCCUGAGGAUGGCUGAGCCUGGUGAGGGAGGAGAGAGGGGAGCGGAGGGGAGCAGGGCCAGGCCACAAAUCACACGACACAGGUGGAGAGAGAGACCCACCGACUCCUCGGACUUCAGACGACUGAGCUCUCUGUUCAGGGGGAGGGGGUGAGGAGGUAAUGAGGGUGGGCUUCAAGGAGG
rnacentral:lncRNA from 1 species